CAGCCGCCGCGGGAAUACGGAGGGUGCAAGCGUUAAUCGGAAUUACUGGGCGUAAAGCGCACGCAGGCGGUUUGUUAAGUCAGAUGUGAAAUCCCCGAGCUUAACUUGGGAACUGCAUUUGAAACUGGCAAGCUAGAGUCUUGUAGAGGGGGGUAGAAUUCCAGGUGUAGCGGUGAAAGGCGUAGAGAUCUGGAGGAAUACCGGUGGCGAAGGCGGCCCCCUGGACAAAGACUGACGCUCAGGUGCGAAAGCGUGGGGAGCAAACAGGAUUAGAGACCCCGGUAGUCCCUGUCUCUUAUAA
rnacentral:rRNA from 1 species